UAGCUAACGCAUUAAGUUCCCCGCCUGGGGAGUACGGCCCGCAAGGCUAAAACUCAAAGGAAUUGACGGGGGCCCGCACAAGCGGCGGAGCAUGCGGAUUAAUUCGAUGCAACGCGAAGAACCUUACCAAGGCUUGACGUAGCCGAGAACGCUGUAGAGAUACAGAACUCUUUGGACACUCGGUUACAGGUGGUGCAUGGUUGUCGUCAGCUCGUGCCGUGAGAUGUUCGGUUAAGUCCGGCAACGAGCGCAACCCUCGUCCUAUGUUGCUAGCACGUUAUGGUGGGAACUCAUGGGAUACUGCCGUGGUCAACACGGAGGAAGGUGGGGAUGACGUCAAGUCAUCAUGCCCCUUAUGUCUUGGGCUUCACGCAUGCUACAAUGGCCGAUACAAAGGGCUGCGAUACCGCGAGGUGGAGCGAAUCCCAAAAAGUCGGUCUCAGUUCGGAUUGGGGUCUGCAACUCGACCCCAUGAAGUCGGAGUCGCUAGUAAUCGCAGAUCAGCAACGCUGCGGUGAAUACGUUCCCGGGCCUUGUACACACCGCCCGUCAAGUCAUGAAAGUCGGUAACACCCGAAGCCGGUGGCCUAACCCUUGUGGAGGGAGCCGUCGAAGGUGGGACUGGUGAUUAGGACU
rnacentral:rRNA from 1 species